rnacentral:rRNA from 1 species
ACGGGAGGCAGCAGUGGGGAGUAUUAGGCAAUGGGGGAAACCCUGACCUAGCGACGCCGCGUGAAGGAUGAAGGUUUUCGGAUUGUAAACUUCUUUUAAGAGGGACGAUAAUGACGGUACCUCUUGAAUAAGCCACGGCUAACUACGUGCCAGCAGCCGCGGUAAUACGUAGGUGGCGAGCGUUGUCCGGAUUUACUGGGUGUAAAGGGCGAGUAGGCGGGCUAACAAGUCAGAUGUGAAAUACCGAGGCUCAACUUCGGGGCUGCAUUUGAAACUGUAAGUCUUGAGUGAUGGAGAGGUAGGCGGAAUUCCCAGUGUAGCGGUAAAAUGCAUAGAGAUUGGGAGGAACACCAGUGGCGAAGGCGGCCUGCUGGACAUUAACUGACGCUGAGGAGCGAAAGUGUGGGGAGCAAACAGGAUUAGAUACCCUGGUA